rnacentral:rRNA from 1 species
CAGGGAUUGCCUCCGUAACGGCGAGUGAAGCGGCAAGAAGCUUCAAAUUUUGAAAGCUUGGCUCCCUUCCGGGGUCCGCAUUUGUAAUUCUGCAGAGGAGGCUUUCGGGAGCGGCCCCCAUCUAAGUGCCCUGGAACGGGCCGUCAUAGAGGGUGAAAAUCCCGUCUGGGAUGGGGUGUCCGCGCCCGUGUGAAGCUCCUUCGACGAGUCGAGUUGUUUGGGGAAUGCAGCUCUAAAUGGGUGGUAAAUUUCAUCUAAAGCUAAAUAUUGGCCGGAGACCGAUAGCGCACAAGUAGAGUGAUCGAAAGAUGAAAAGCACUUUGAAAAGAGAGUUAAACAGCACGUGAAAUUGUUGAAAGGGAAGCGCUUGCGACCAGACUCGCCCACGGGGUUCAGCCGGCAUUCGUGCCGGUGUACUUCCCCGCGGGCGGGCCAGCGUCGGGUUUGGGGCGGCCGGUCAAAGGCCCUCGGAAUGUAACGCCCCCCGGGGCGUCUUAUAGCCCGAGGGUGCCAUGCGGCCAGCCCAGACCGAGGAACGCGCUUCGGCUCGGACGCUGGCAUAAUGGUCGUAAGCGACCCGUCUUGAAACACGGACC